UUUUUUUUUUGGGGGGGUGGUGGGGGGGUGGUGUGGUGUGAAGGAAUUGAUAGAAAAGAAAAUGAGGAAAUUUUGUAGAAGGUGAAAUUAACUAUCACUCCUCUUGUUUGUAUUCAAGGACGAAAGAAAAUUGCAGAAGAUUGUUUUAUUACAACAUUUGUUAUGGGCAUAUGUGUAAUUUAAUUCAUUCACUCUACUUUGUCCGCAGAAGUAUCUUUUGGUCCAAUGGGAAAAUUUUUCUUCCUUCUUUUCCUCUUUCCUACUUACCAAGUUACAUCAUUAUUGCAGUUGCAUUAUGUGUCCUUUCUCGCUCUCCUUUCUUCCUUUGCCCCUUUCCUUUCUCCAUUUCUCAACAUAUGUUCUGGGUUGAAAACACUUUGGAUUUUUUAGGUUAUGUUGGAACUUCAUGUAUCUGUAACUGAAUUUUAUUAUUAUUUUCAAUUGUUUGUCUGUGGAGCUAAGUGUUGACAAUUAAGUGCUUCUAUUGGGUGUGAAUGGUGGUGUACAGGAACA
rnacentral:misc_RNA from 1 species